AGAGUUUGAUCCUGGCUCAGAUUGAACGCUGGCGGCAGGCUUAACACAUGCAAGUCGAGCGGUAACAGGAAUUAGCUUGCUAAUUUGCUGACGAGCGGCGGACGGGUGAGUAACGCGUAGGAAUCUGCCUAGUAGUGGGGGACAACAUGUGGAAACGCAUGCUAAUACCGCAUACGCCCUACGGGGGAAAGGAGGGGAUCUUCGGACCUUUCGCUAUUAGAUGAGCCUGCGUAAGAUUAGCUAGUUGGUGGGGUAAAGGCUCACCAAGGCGACGAUCUUUAGCUGGUCUGAGAGGAUGAUCAGCCACACUGGGACUGAGACACGGCCCAGACUCCUACGGGAGGCAGCAGUGGGGAAUAUUGGACAAUGGGCGCAAGCCUGAUCCAGCCAUGCCGCGUGUGUGAAGAAGGCCUUCGGGUUGUAAAGCACUUUCAGAAGUGAGGAAGGGUGACUGGCUAAUAUCCAGUUAUCUUGACGUUAGCUUCAGAAGAAGCACCGGCUAACUCUGUGCCAGCAGCCGCGGUAAUAC
rnacentral:rRNA from 1 species